UCACAAGUGCUCAUUAGUCAUUUCUUUGAGCCAACCAAAGUACAAAACUAACCCUUAUUCCCUCUUUCCUCACACACUACACAGUCAUUCUCAGAAGUCUCAAUAACCCAUUUUUUGUUGCAAAUUGAACGGUGUUCCCAAAAUGGGUCAAGUUCAAGUACCCUUUUAAAUUCUUCACUGUGUUUUCAACUUUCUUCUUUUUCAACUCCUUCCACCAUGUUCCUCUACAGAUUUCUCUCUUUGUUGGGAUUGUUACAUUUUCUUGGAAUGCACUUACCUCUUCUAAUGGCUG
rnacentral:lncRNA from 1 species